rnacentral:sRNA from 1 species
AGAAAGAUAUCUCUUCCAAGGAAUAGCAGAUCAAUUUUUGUACAGGAUGACAGUGAUUCGAUUUUCUCCAACUAAGGCUUCUUAACAGCUUUCCCCACAAAAAUAAAGCUAACAGAAAUUUAUAAAACAUGAUAUUUUUUGUCAUUUUUGUAUAAAAUAACAUUUUCGUAAAAAAAAAAAACCAACAUGAAAAUUGCAGCUCAUAUUGCUUUAAGGUUGCUUGUACACCAUUGUAUUAUACCAUUUAAUGUCAAAAUGUGCCUUCUUGACUAAAUUGUUUGUUUAUAUUUCAUCAAUUUUGUCACUAAUUUUACACAGAUUAUAUUCUUCAGUGAUAUGAAUACAUCUUGCUAGCUAGUGGGUUUUGUUAGUCCCAUGUUGUAUUUUGCUGCUUACAUUCAUGCAUUUUCAAGUUCUUUUUUUUAAAACCUCUUCUUGCGCAUUUUUUUAUAAACGAAAUUGUGUUGUAGAAUUCAUUUACCCUAUAUAUUGUUCAUCAUUAACAUAAUGUUUAAUUUUUAAAAAUUUAUAAAAAAAAUUGUAGUUGAAUUUUUGUUGUUGGAAAAUUACAAGAUAAUAGAAGAAGGGGAGGGGGUAAGGUUACUACAAUUUUUUAUUUGAUUUUUGAACACUAGUGUAAACUUUAAAAGUUUAAUGAAGAUUAAUAUAGUUGAGGACUACAUUCAUGUAGUAAAUACAUUCUGCACCUAGUGCAAAAGUUGGUGUAAAAGUACACAAGUACUUACAGUACAUGAUAUAUACAUGGAGUAUUAUCUAGAAUUAGAAAUUUUGUAGAGGAAUUGGGAAAACAGGGAUGCUACUUUUCUUCUUUCAGGAACUGACUUUUUCAUAUCACUUGUUUACGCAUAUAUUUGUGUUGUUUUAAUGAGUUUAGUAUCCAUAUAUAAACUGUGAUUAUUGUAUUUUAAGAAUAAAGAAGAAAGAAUUGAUUAAUGUUAAAA